AUUAAUCACCAUUAAUCACAUUAACACUUACAAUCAAUUGAAUUAACAAAAGAAAAUGGAUUUAGGGUUAAAGGUUUACAUGAAUUGGAACUCGUUUGAAGCUCAGACUCGCCUCCCUCCUUCUCUCGAACGACGGCCGAUACUUACCGGUGAAGACCCUUCCUCCGCCUUCGCGAGUCAAUCACAAGCUCUUCUCUCACCGCCUCUCAUCUCUCGAUGGCGCUGUAAGCUUCCUACGGCGAGAUUCUUCCCUCCGAUCAUCUCUCAUCUCAUCUUGCGACCGGAGACCAGUCUGAGGUGCCUUCGCUCACAAAUCCGACGAAUCUCGAGAGUGAAGAAUUGAAUCGUGAAUUUGGUGGUGAAUCGAGAGAGAAAGAUUGAGGAAAGCGUUGAAGAUUAUUGAUGAUUGAUGAUGAUGUUUGCGGAUUCGGUGAUGAUGAUUGUUGAAGCGCGUGUUGAACGAUUCUGAGUUUUUCUUGUUAUUUACAUUGAUGAAGGUGAUAAGGUGCAAAGAUGAAUUCGUGAAGGUUAUUGAAGAAGGUUGAAGAGGUUCUUGUGAAUUGCAGAAAGUGAUGAAGAUGAAGUUGAAGUUUGAAGGAGCGUGUGCAGGAUUUCCGAAGUGAAGAUGAUGAUUCAGAGUUUGUUACAGAUGAAGAUUGAAGAAGAUUUCAGGAGAGAGAGAGAUGAAUCCCGAGUGAAUUGCAGAGAGAGAGGAGUUGGUUACAGCAGGAAUCAGUUCUUUUGGGAGUUGAUAUGGUGCGGUUGGAGAAUUGUUUCGAAAGUAUCCAUGAACUUCUGACUGAUUUUGUAAUAUAUGGAUUUGAGAGCAAAAUUUGUGAUUUUGUGAUUUUGUUUCAUUGCUUCAGAACUUGUUUUUUUUCGAUACUAAAUUCAUGAUUGGGAGUGUAUGUAAUUUGGAUUCUGGAAUGUAUACACUCUUUGAGAAUUUUUUUAUUGUCAUGAAUUGUAUGGACUUGCAAUGCUUUGUAACCUUGCAGACUCGUAACUUCAAUGAACAAAAUCCCUCGAUUAUUCAAAACAAUCUUUUCUUUUAAAAUGAAUUUGAAGUCCCAAACCGCUUCGACAAAUGUCUUACAUACCGUCCCUAGUCACGGCGUGAAUCCAACAACACGUUUGCCAACACAACAAAACUUUGAAAUAAUGACUUGAAUCUUGAAAUUUGUGUGCUCAAAAACCAUAUGAAUGAACCUUCCCUUUUAGCAAGCUCGAAUUAAUUCUUGACAAAUCAUACGAUUAAGAACAAACCGAUUAAUCUUGAACACAAACCUAAAUUCAUGUCAUUAAGUAGUCCUUGAAUCGACACAACUUUAUACUCCAUACUUGCGCAAGAAUGUGAGUUAAAACCUUGUACGCCAUCUUAGAUCCAAGUUAAUUUAUAUUGCAAGUAAUGAGUUACAAUGAUGAGAAUAAAAACUUCUUUGAUCACAAUGAAUCUACAAGUUCAUCUCUCAUGUCAUGACUCGCAUUGGUAUUUCAAUCCACCGUAACAAUAAUGCUUUGAGGAAUUUUUGGGGAAGGUAAGAAUUGAUGCACAUAAGAACUUCUCCACAUGAAAUCCAAUGAAGUUCAGUUGAAUUAACUAUCGUAGACACCAUGUAUAAGAAACUCCUUAUUAUUUUUCUUCAAUUUUCGAACGACGAAAUAAACGGCGUCCAUAACUUAUAUCAUAGUGAAAGAGGGCAAAUUUUGGGGUGCAACAGUACCACAUGCAUGAGU